rnacentral:rRNA from 1 species
AGCGAACGCUGGCGGCAGGCUUAACACAUGCAAGUCGAGCGGGCAUCUUCGGAUGUCAGCGGCAGACGGGUGAGUAACACGUGGGAACGUACCCUUCGGUUCGGAACAACUCUGGGAAACUGGAGCUAAUACCGGAUACGCCCUUAUGGGGAAAGGCUUACUGCCGAAGGAUCGGCCCGCGUCUGAUUAGAUAGUUGGUGGGGUAACGGCCUACCAAGGCGACGAUCAGUAGCUGGUCUGAGAGGAUGAGCAGCGACACUGGGGCUGAGACACGGCCCAGACUCCUACGCGAUGGAGGAGUGGGGGAUAGAGGAAAGUCGGCGCAAGCAUGAUCCAGCCCGGCCGGGUGAGUGAUGAAGGCCGUAGGGUUGUAAAGCUCUAUUGUCCGGGACGAUAAUGACGGUACCGGAAGAAUAAGCCCCGGCUAACUUCGUG